AAAUCAAUAAAGAAAAACCCUUGAAAAGAAUCCUACUAUCCACCUCACCGGCAACCCAAAAAAAUCAAGAAAAAUGCUAUUUUUAGUUUCACAUCAUAGACACAUAGUAGAUCGUUUCAGCGUCAGUUGCACUCUCUAGUGUUAAUGAAACCGCCAUCGCGCUGCCGUUUUCUUCUCCGCUGUGCUCCAUUUUCACCACCAUUUCUUACUACUUCCAUCAUCAUCCUUGUGUUUUCCCGAUUAUAAAAUCAAUCCAAACAACCUUUUAUGCUGUCAUUUUCGCUUUUCGUAGACCAAGCGCUCCAUCUCUUUUAUCCAAAUACCCCUUAAUCUAAGAUCCGUUUAUUCUGAGAUCUGCCACUUUUAUUUCUUUUGAAUUUAGCUACUUCCAAUUCACUGCUGAAAUAUUCAUCAACUUUGCUCCAGAAUUGCAUUCAUGUCUUUUCAAAAUAAGGGGAUUUGGAUGUCCAAGGAUGGUGGGUGUUUGACUGAUGGAGAAAUUUCUUACGAUAGUGUUUCUAGAAUUGAAGCUAAGCGUUCGCAUCAAUGGUUUAUAGAUAGUGGUGAGGCUGAGUUUUUACCGAGCAAAAAGCAAGUUGUAGAAGUUUCUAGUGGUGAUUCAUUUGCUGAAAUUCCCACCUCAACGCUUUCUCCGUGGGGAAAUCUGUCAAGUUUUAGCUCGGUGUCAACUCAACUUACCGAAGAGUUGUUUGAUACUGAUGCGGGUAGGGAUGCUAGUUUUGAUGAGAGAAAUGUAGUGCCUGUCAAUGUGGGUAGUUUACAUAUGGGAAGAAAGGUUACAGUUGAUCCUUUUGGGCAUACUUCCUCAUUUGGUCUAUCUAUGUCUCAUCCAUUAGAAGAUCCCAAGUCGGGAAUAAACUAUGGUGGGAUCAGGAAAGUUAAAGUUAGUGAAGUAAGAGAUCCUGACAACGUCAUGUCUAUGGUUGCAGGAGCGUCGUAUUCUACUGAAGCUAAUGCUGGUAUUUCGACCACUCAUGGGUAUGACGAGGUGGAUGAUAGUGGUAUAUCUAUGGGUUUGACAUAUGGUCGAGAGGUGGAAAAUGUUGUAACAGUUGGACACUCCUAUGGUAGGGAAGGUGACAAUUUUAUACCUAUGGGGCAGACAUAUAGUAAAGAUGCUUGUAACGCAAUGGAUAUGGGGAACCCUUACAAGGCUGACAGCAGCACCAUGCAAAUGGUGAAUUCAUUUGGUGGUGCUGGUGGUAAUAUCGUGCCAAUGGCUGAGACCUUCAGCAAAGGUGAUCACAAUGUCGUUUCCAUGGGAAACCUCAGCAAAGAGGACAAUCACUUGAUCCCCACAAGUAAUGCAUAUGGAAGUGAUGGCUGUAUCUCAGUGACUAGCAGUUAUAGCAAAGGGCUUGACUGCACCACAAAUAUUGCUCCAGCUAACAGCAAAUGUAAAAACAAUACAUCAUCUAUUGGUCACUCAUUCAGCAAGGGAGAGAGUAACAUAAUAUCCUUUGGUGGUUACAAUGAGGAUGAUGAAGCAAAUGCUUCCGCUAGUCUGAUAUGCAAUUACGACUUGCUAAUGGGCCAUCCUUCUGUUCAACGGAGCGACACAUUAAACCAAAAGAAAUUGAUGGUCUUAAAUGCUAAUGCACCUACAGGUACUGCUCAAGUUAUCAAUGUGGGAGCAGAUAGUGUCACCAGAAAGAAAGAAGACACUAAAACAACUAAAAAGGCACCUCCCAACAAUUUUCCUUCAAAUGUCAGAAGUUUGCUUUCCACUGGUAUUUUGGAUGAGGUGCCUGUGAAGUAUAUUGCUUGGUCACGAGAGAAAGAGCUUCGUGGUAUCAUUAAAGGUUCUGGAUAUCUUUGUGGAUGUCAGUCAUGCAACUUCUCUAAAGUUAUUAAUGCCUAUGAGUUUGAGCGACAUGCUAGUUGCAAAACAAAACACCCCAACAAUCACAUUUACUUUGAGAACGGGAAAACCAUUUAUGGGAUUGUUCAAGAGCUCAGGAAUACACCACAGAAUAUGCUGUUUGAUGUUAUUCAAACAAUAACAGGUUCGCCCAUCAAUCAAAAAUCCUUCCGUGCAUGGAAAGAUUCUUUCCUGGCUGCUACACGGGAACUUCAGCGUAUUUAUGGUAAGGAAGAGAGGAAUUAAUCAUUAUAAAUUAACUUGCUGUGAAGGGACUGCAUACAAAACAAGACAUUAUAUGCACAAAUAAACGUGAAGCAGUGCAAGGUGGUUCUAGGCGUCAAGUAGGCUAUUGAAGCUGUACUAGGCACUGAUUUGGGGCCCUAUAGCGCCUAUGUGGCGCUAGUUUUCUGCAUCUUGCUAUGGUUAAGAAAAUAGAAGCAUGGUUCACCAAUGAAUUUGUGAGCCCAUCUUCUGAGUGGAAUGCUGGUUGUAUCCAUGAGGUAGUGGAAAGCUCAAGAGGAGGUAUUCCUAAUCCAGUAGAAGUUUAAGAAAAGAUGGUAGCCAAUUGUACUCCUGAUGUGAGGGUGUAUGCAUGAGCAGUCGUGAAAUCUUUCAACUAGUCUGUUUCUUGGUCUCAAAUGUUGUUGAAGAUCAGGAGUAGUGAUACUAUGGUGCUGAUAAACGUUUGGUUGGAUUCGAUCUGAAAGUACUUUAACAAGAAUAUUUGUUUAUUAUGGAUUAUCAUAUUUAGAUUAGUACUUGUAAAUGUUGACAGUCUGUUAUUUUAGAUGCAAUUCUGUAUAUAGGGAACGGAUUAACGUGUACUGUAUAAUUUUGUUGGAUUUAGUUUUCAUCGAUGAAAAUGACUA